CCCUGUCCCCUCCCUGUCUGCUGUCUCACCAGCAGGUACACUGAUCAGCCAUGAGAAACUCCUGCUGCAGAUCAACACAGAGAGAGAGAUGGGCAACAUGGACUACAAACUGGGACAGGUAGGAUGGAGAGAGAGAUGGACUACAAACUGGGACAGGUAGGAUGGAGAGAGAGAUGGACUACAAACUGGGACAGGUAGGAUGGAGAGAGAGAUGGACUACAAACGGGGACAGGUAGGAUGGAGAGAGAGAUGGACUACAAACUGGGACAGGUAGGAUGGAGAGAGAGAUGGACUACAAACGGGGACAGGUAGGAUGGAGAGAGAGAUGGACUACAAACGGGGACAGGUAGGAUGGAGAGAGAGAUGGACUACAAACUGGGACAGGUAGGAUGGAGAGAGAGAUGGACUACAAACUGGGACAGGUAGGAUGGAGAGAGAGAUGGACUACAAACUGGGACAGGUAGGAUGGAGAGAGAGCUGGACUACAAACUGGGACAGGUAGGAUGGAAGGAGAGAGAGAUGGGGAACAUGGACUACAAACUGGGACAGGUAGGAUGGAGGGAUGGAAGGAGAGAGAGAUGGACUACAAACUGCGACAGGUAGGAUGGAGGGAGAGAGAUGGGACACAUGGGCUACAAACUGGGACUGGAGGGAUGGAAGGAGAGAGAGAUGGACUACAAACUGGGACAGGUAGGAUGGAGGGAGAGAGAGAUGGGACACAUGGACUACAAACUGG
ensembl:lncRNA